UUUUAUUUUUCUUUUUCUAUAUUUUUUCUUAUUGUUUCUUAUUCAUUUUCGGUAUAUUAGAGUCAGUGCUCAAGAGCCUCUUCAGGAGAUCAAGAUUAUGCUUCACAUCAGUAUCAAUUUUUUUGUAUUUUCUGGGGAAAAUCCAACGGUGGCUCUAAAGUCAAGAAUAUCUUCUACAGUCUUCACUUCCCCUAAUCCUUCAAGAAUCGUAUGAUGCUUCAAAAGCUAAAAAUAAAUUUUUCACGGCGUUUAUCAUGGAAUUCUCAGUGAUAUCUACUUGAUGAGAGUCUUCACGAUAACUUUCCCUGUUCUAGUGCAGCAUCAUGACAACAUUCUUCGCAUCUAUUGCGUGAGU